CCUCGGCAUCCUUCCCAAUUCCCAUCGCUCUCCCUCUCUCGCUGAUAUUCUUUUCCUGCCGCGUGUGCCUGGUUCUGCUCGCCGGACAGCCGAGUGCUCCAUCUUCCAGCUCGCCAACUCCCUGGCCGGCGCUCGGCCUCCAGCUCACCUAUGCCCUCCAGCUCGCCGAGUUUCUCUCUGCCCUCACCCAUGGCGCUUGGCCGCCCUCCUGCUGCUCCCUGGCGCGCUCGUCCAUGGCCGCCGUGCGCAGGUGGUGGUUCCGUCGUCUUCCUCGAGCUCGAUACGCCGGUCCGAGCUGGCUGUCCUUGCUCCCUGCGCGCGCUCCUUUUCUGCCUCCCAUGGCCGUCGCGCCGUCUUUGCUCGUUGGGCCGUGCGUUGCCGCGCACACGUGCCCGGCACCCCUGCUCCGUACGCCUUAGCUGCGCGUGCCGGACUGCGUCCUUCGCAGCUCGCUGGCUUUAGCCACAGGACGCCACCAAUCGUGCCUUCGCAUCCUGUGUUCUCGACUUGUCCACAGCGUCGUCGUGGUGUUACGGUCUCGCCAUAAUUCCCUGGUGAUUUGCUCGCCGAACCUCCAGCUUCCUCGCGCUCGGCUCCCUGGUAUUCCAGCUGGUCGUCGUGUCGUUCGCCGUUGAGCCCGUCGUCGCGUCGUUCGCCGUUGAGCCUGUCGUUCUCCUCUGUACUCGCUGCCCAUCGCGGCGUCCCUAGUCUGUCGCGCCGCGCUCUGUGUCAUCGCCGUCGUUGUUUUUGGAGUUCAUCGUGACGCGCUGCCGAUGAUCUGCGUAUAGCUGGAGAUCUUCGCAAGUUCAAGCAGCGUUAUUUAGCGCUAUGUUUGUUUCCUUUGUAUGUUUGCGUGUAGGUUCAUUCCCUACGGGGCAUCACAGUUUGCGUUAAGCACGUUUGAUUCCAUUUAGUUCACUUGCACGCCAGGUGUUCGAUGAAUCGUUUGAACCGGGACUUGUUGUUGUUUCCACGACUUCUGAGUCAAAUUAGCAUUAGUGAGUCGGUUUGUUAAUUCGCUAGCUAGUUUGAUGUAUAAAUGUGUUCGAUGGAUUUAUUGGUUUAGUAUAUUAAUUGCGAUAAUUUUCGUGUCAGGAUGUAGAUGUGUUGUGAUUGUAUUAGAUGUUUGCUAAUGUCUUAUAUAUGAGAUGUAUGUUCGGAUUGGUGACAUGGAGGAUAGGUCUAGUAUUUUUAUCGGCUAGCCAACUGUGCUUCAGUGUUAUGACACUUUUAUUUACUAAGAUGUAGUCGAUGCUCGGCUCUAGGAGUCGUGCCAUGUAGCUAAGUUUAGGUUCAAAGACGUAGGUUAUGCGAGGAGGAUUAAAUUGGUGUUUCAUAUCCGAAGUAUGGUCGAAUUAAUAUUACACAGAAUAAGUCUUGUGUUUCUAACGACUAGCCGAUACGUGCUGUUAGUAUUGCGUAUGACGGAUUUCAUUUGUUGGUAUGAAGUCGAUGACCUGUUGCGAUAGCCGUUAUGUUCUGUGUUUGCUGAUCGGUAAAUGUCAUAGUCAGAUAUUGAUUAGUUAGAUUAGUAGUCGUGAUUAAAUGUUUAUUUUUAUUUUUUGUCUUGGUUAGGGUUACCCAAAAUAAUUAGGAAAGCAGUUUCACAGAACUUUAUGUUGUAUAAUAAUGUUCUACUCGUUAGACUAAGGAUAAAUGAAAUAUUUAAUUUAGUGGGUCUUAUGCAUAAUAGCUGAGAAUAGUAAUUCUAGAAGCUAAUGGAAUGGUUUCUAGUUUUAGUCUGAGUUUAGACGUUGUGCUCUAGUUAAGAGAGAUAGGGUGCUUAUAAAUGGUUCGCUAUGGUUUGCUGUUAGAAUUAGAUCUGAUGAAAUAAGAAGCGUGAAUAUUAUAGUUCGUCUUAUAUCGACAGCUGGCGUUUCCUGUAAUUGGUUCUAAUGACUUGUUAGUAGUGUGUAAUCCUCGACCGUGUAACAUUGUCUAGUAUUGUGCUAGUUCUUCUUAUAUUCAUACAUGUGCAUUAUGCAUUUCAUUUAGGUACGAUAAUUAAUCACGUGAGGCGGAAUACGAGCCAAGUCGACCCCAAGAUGACGUAACGGGUGGACUACUCCGCAUGGUGAAGCUGAUGGACGAAACUGAAGAUGGAUAAACUGAACAAGUGCCAACCCAAAAGGUUGGCUGCCAAUUGGACGUCAUCUAACAAACACUAACAUAGUGUUUAUUCCAGGCAAGCCCCGGUACAUGCAACUCCUUCCUUGUGUUUUUAAAUAAUUUUUACACACUUUAAGUCUAGCGAAAUGUGCAUUAGGUUAUAGGAGUUGCUUGGAAACCCUUUGAUGCAUCGACUACCUUGAUAUCCAUUCCUGUUAUAGGUACUUUGGAAGUAUCAAAAUAUGAUUUACAAAAAUUCUUAGCCCUGCUUAGAUCUUGUGGAUAGAGGUUGUCUUUUGCAAUACUGCCUAGAUCUUGUGGAUAGAGGUUGUCUUUUGCAAUACUGCCUAGAUCUUGUGGAUAGAGGUUGUCUUUUGCUUAGAUCUUGAGGAAGGAUGGCUUCUACCUACAAGGAUAUUUUCAUUGGGAGCAUGGUGGGAUCUUACUGCAAAGUUCCCUAUAAUGCUCUUUUCAUCCUAAGGAACACAAACAAUACUAAGGAUGAAAGUACUUAAAUCAGGACUUGGGCUAGGAACAGGUGAUGCUCCACCCAGGUUAAUUAAGGAUUGGAUGCGUAUGUAGGAUUGGAUCCCCAGAGAGUGGAGACUUGAUCUCCGGCCUACAACCUAAGUCAGGAUGUAAACAUUAUGAAUAAAAAUGAUGUUGUAUUGAUGAGAUGGUGAAAUUAGACUAGAUGCAACCAGAGUCUAUUAAUACUUAAUCUGGCGUUAAAAUAUUGAAAGUAAGGACUCACUUUAGUAAGCUAUUUCUACAAAAGUAUCUAAGUUGAUUCUUGCUAAAGCCUUUUCCUUGAUUCCUAUUUAACCAGCAUAUCCUUGAGUCAUUUUUCCUUAGUCGGGUAAGACUUGCAAAAGUACACCUCGUACUCAGGGUUUUCGAACCCAUGUUGUUGCAGGUACUUGAUUUGUGAUGUUGUGAAUGGUGUUAAGCGCCGGUGGGCAUGACCUCCUUAUAAGUCUAAGUAACUCUUCUAUACUUCUUAUUGAGGAUGGCCACUUAAGCUAGCAUAUAUUUCAAAAUUAUAAAUAAUUUAUAACAUUUCAAAGUUUAUUUCUUUGAAUCACUUUGUAAUCACUCUGAUAAACAUAAUGUAAAUUUGUUGUAACUUGUAACU
rnacentral:lncRNA from 1 species